AGAGUUUGAUCCUGGCUCAGGAUGAACGCUAGCGACAGGCUUAACACAUGCAAGUCGAGGGGCAGCGGGGGUAGCAAUACCCGCCGGCGACCGGCGCACGGGUGAGUAACGCGUAUGCAACUUACCUAUCAGAGGGGGAUAACCCGGCGAAAGUCGGACUAAUACCGCAUGAAGCAGGGGCCCCGCAUGGGGAUAUUUGCUAAAGAUUCAUCGCUGAUAGAUAGGCAUGCGUUCCAUUAGGCAGUUGGCGGGGUAACGGCCCACCAAACCGACGAUGGAUAGGGGUUCUGAGAGGAAGGUCCCCCACAUUGGUACUGAGACACGGACCAAACUCCUACGGGAGGCAGCAGUGAGGAAUAUUGGUCAAUGGACGCAAGUCUGAACCAGCCAUGCCGCGUGCAGGAAGACGGCUCUAUGAGUUGUAAACUGCUUUUGUACGAGGGUAAACUCACCUACGUGUAGGUGACUGAAAGUAUCGUACGAAUAAGGAUCGGCUAACUCCGUGCCAGCAGCCGCGGUAAUACGGAGGAUUCAAGCGUUAUCCGGAUUUAUUGGGUUUAAAGGGUGCGUAGGCGGUUUGAUAAGUUAGAGGUGAAAUCCCGGGGCUUAACUCCGGAACUGCCUCUAAUACUGUUAGACUAGAGAGUAGUUGCGGUAGGCGGAAUGUAUGGUGUAGCGGUGAAAUGCUUAGAGAUCAUACAGAACACCGAUUGCGAAGGCAGCUUACCAAACUAUAUCUGACGUUGAGGCACGAAAGCGUGGGGAGCAAACAGGAUUAGAUACCCUGGUAGUCCACGCAGUAAACGAUGAUAACUCGUUGUCGGCGAUACACAGUCGGUGACUAAGCGAAAGCGAUAAGUUAUCCACCUGGGGAGUACGUUCGCAAGAAUGAAACUCAAAGGAAUUGACGGGGGCCCGCACAAGCGGAGGAACAUGUG
rnacentral:rRNA from 1 species